AAAAAAAAGAAAAAAAAAACAGAUUGCAAUAUAGAAAACCUAGUUUACAAUAGCAACAAACCCAAUUUUCUAGUAGCAGAAAACAAAUUAUGCAGUGGCAGUACCUACUCAAUACAUUAAAUUUCUUGCAACCUGUACAGUAGGGAAUAUAACUUCAUAGUUGUUGUUGCAUAUAUAUUUGAAGUGGGGAGAAAUAUAAAAAUCACAUCUAUUGGUCUAUCAGGAGACAUGUUAAGGGUCCCAUAAAGGUGCUUUUGUUCCUAUUCUGCUUCCUCUUUUUCAAUUUUUUACUUCUUUGUUCCACUAACGCUAUUUUGCACUAACUAUAUACUUGAAUAGUAUAUUGAAUUGAUUUAUUUCUUACAAAAAAAUGGCUUUUAAGCUUGCGGCUUUGCGCAUAAAGUUAUUGAAGAAUAAGAGAAGCACAGGUGAAACAACUGGAAAGGGAAUUGUCUUAAUUGGUUGAGAUUGGCCAGGACCAGAUUGCCAUAAUUCGGUUAUGCAGAAAGAUUUGUAUUACAGUAGGAAAGCAGACAAUCUUUAAGAACUAACAUUGAAAAUGAUCCAGUUAGUGUCAGUAAUGCUCCUUCAUUAUCUUCACCUGCUUCAAAUGUUGUUGAGGAACAAAGAUGAUUUUUGAGGGCUCACAUUGAUAAUGAGUCAUUUGGUGCUAUUAAUGAUCGCUCACAAUCUUCGCUUCCUCCAUCUUCUGCUACUGGAGUCAAUAAUCAUUUUGAUAGAAAUCCUUGUCAACUUGAGAUUGAGACAAGUGGAAGAAGUUCAAUGAAGUUUGGAGGACGUUUGGCUAGUGGUAGGGGAUUGUACAAAGGCAUUGAUCUUGAUAAGUUGACAAAUGAAAGAAGGACAAGUUGAUUAUCUUCAUACCUACAGGAAAAUAUUUUCGACCAAGUGGUGAACAUGAAAGAAAGUUAGCAUCAUGGUUAGGAUAUUAUGCAAGAUCUUAUGGUCCACCUAAAGAGCCUUGGAAUGCUGUUGAAGCUCGAUAUCGUACUCAUUUAUGGAGUAUGAUUUAGGAUUACUUUGAUGUAAGUCCUGAGAGUCCAGAAAAAUGGAAGAAGCUUGAGGAAAUGCAAAAGGUGAAGCCUGACACGGCUGAGAUAAAAAAAGCUAAGUUUGAAUUCUAUUGUUUCUAUGAGAUGAAAAUAUUAUAUCGCAAAUGGAAAUACAAGCCACACCUUAAGUAUUUGAAGUACUCAAGUGAUGAUGAACGACUGUAACAUGUUCCUGAAGGAUUGACUGUGGAUACUUAGAAGGAAAUGUUCAAAGUUUUUGCUAAUGAGGACUUUCAGGUACUUUUUAAUUACUUUUUCUAUUAUGGUAAAAAAUAAAUAUUUUUUUAGCAUCAAUAUCAUGUAGGCCUUAUGUUCCACCAAUACAAAUAAUCAUGCUCGUCAAAGAAUUAUUGCUUCAACUGGUCCCACUCCUUUUGUGCAAGUAGAGUAUGAUAUGGUAAACUAUAUAAAAAAAAAAAUUACUAUUUACUCAUAGCUAUUUCUUUUCUUUAGUUAUAUUAUGUUAUAUAAUGCGUGGUUAAUAUAAUUAAUACUAUAGAUGGAUGAGGAGAUUGGUGAAGUAUCAUAUGCUUCUGAAGUUUAGAUGGCUACACAUGGGUUCUUGGAUGAGCAAGGC
rnacentral:misc_RNA from 1 species